GAGUUUGAUCGUGGCUCAGAUUGAACGCUGGCGGCAGGCCUAACACAUGCAAGUCGAGCGGUAGAGAGAAGCUUGCUUCUCUUGAGAGCGGCGGACGGGUGAGUAAUGCCUAGGAAUCUGCCUGGUAGUGGGGGAUAACGCUCGGAAACGGACGCUAAUACCGCAUACGUCCUACGGGAGAAAGCAGGGGACCUUCGGGCCUUGCGCUAUCAGAUGAGCCUAGGUCGGAUUAGCUAGUUGGUGAGGUAAUGGCUCACCAAGGCGACGAUCCGUAACUGGUCUGAGAGGAUGAUCAGUCACACUGGAACUGAGACACGGUCCAGACUCCUACGGGAGGCAGCAGUGGGGAAUAUUGGACAAUGGGCGAAAGCCUGAUCCAGCCAUGCCGCGUGUGUGAAGAAGGGUCUUCGGAUUGUAAAGCACUUUAAGUUGGGAGAAGGGCAGUAAAUUAAUACUUUGCUGUUUUGACGUUACCGACAGAAUAAGCACCGGCUAACUCUGU
rnacentral:rRNA from 1 species